CCCACCGUGCUGCCCGUCUGAGUGGGGAUGUGGGGCAGCGAGGCUGGAUGGGGUUUGGACACCACCGGCGUGGUAAAGGUUCGCUGGAGGUUUAUAGAGCAGAGCCUCUGUACCAUGCGUGGGGGGAAAGUGCUUCUGGGGCAGCUCAAGAGCACUGGGGAAACUGAGGCAGGAGGGCAGGUGUCCCUUGGCUUUGCUGGUCCUGCCGAAGUCCCUGGGCUGGAGUCCCCGUCCAGGCAUCUGUCCAGGUCCCCUUUGCAGGGAGGUUUAACAAAUGCCUUGCAGAGGAGAGCUGCAAGCCGCAGCGUGUGUUUCCAGCCCUGGCCGAGGAGGCCGAGCUGCUGACGGUGCCUUCGGAGGGAAGAGCAAAGCCUCCCCGCAAGCGCUGUAUUUCCAGGGCGUCGCCCAGUAACGCCCAGCCAGCGAGGGGACACGACCGUGCGGGGACCUGCGGGUGCUUAGGGUCCCCCGGGAUCCCCAGGGCAGCCCCCAGCCCCUGCAAGGGUGGCAGCUCCCUGCCCUGCAGCUUGGUGAGUUUAGUCCCCAAAUACAUUAGGAAUGGCAACGGUGAGCUUAUUUUUAAGUGAGUCUAAGCAUGAUUUUAGGGAGGGUGCUUUGAGAUUUUUAAUGCUAGUGGCUUUUCUACCAAAUACAUAUAGAGGGGUCUGGCUGAGGGGUCUCGGGGACCUGGUGUGGCUGGAGGUCCUGCUGGGACAGCACCGGCAGUUCAGCUGCAAUGAGCGGAAAAUGUGUUUGUGUGUUGGUUUUUCAGAAGAAGUGAGAAAAUGUCAUCUUUUAGGGAACAGAAAGAGCUGAGAAAACCAGACAAUCGUUAGCAAAGGGUCAAGUCGACAGGGAGAUUCUGUCCGAGGAGGGAUUUUUCCUGCUGCCUUCUGGCUCUCUUUGAGGCAUCCGAAAUAUUUUGUUCAAAUGGAAGAAAUCCUCCAAGUAAAGGCGCUAUUUCUGGUCAUAAAGCCACGGUGGGAGGGGCCGAGCCUUAGGAAAGAAAAAAACCCAAAAAACCCAAGCAAACCCUCUUUGCUGUGGUUUCAUCCCAGCAUGUCUGGCAAAAUCAGCACCAGCAUCUUGUGGGGUCACCCCUCUGCUUCCCCAUCCCGCCCCGCUUUUCCCAGCAAGAUCAAGUAACCGGGAUGAGGUGGGGUCCCAGGGAGCAGCCGUGCCCAGCCUACAGCCCCGCAAACCCAGCCCAGGCUCACGCUUAAACCCCAGCGCCCGGGCGAUGCCUCAGCGCACCCGCUGGGGACGGCGGCUGGUUUGCAGCACCCGCGCAAGCGGUGCCCGGCGGUGUUUUUCUCGGCUCCCGGUGCCGUGGGGCGGGCGGGCGGAGGGCUGCGAGCGCGGGGCUGCGCUGCGGCAGCGACGGGGUGAGGUUUGGGCUCGGACGGGGCUCCCGGCAGCCGGCUGGAGCUGGGAACGUUGCUCACAUGCGAGGUGCGUGCCUGUGUGGUGGUUUGGCUUGGGGAGCGGAGGGCAUGAGCUCAGGUCACCUCCUCCAGUCUUUAAAAUAUAUAUAUAUGUAAAUGUAUUUAUAUAUAUUUAUAAAAAUAAUAUAUACACCUACACAGAGCUACAGCUGCGCUUUUGGGGUGGCUGGCAGCAGCCCAAGCUCCAGCACCCCUCCGUACCAGCCCAGCAUCCCUGAUGCAGCAAGGUUUUCUCCCCAGGAGAGGUUUCCAGCCGGGCGCCUGUGACAUUGCCCUCCCCGCAGCAAGGAAAGGAAAAUAUCUUUUUGCAUUACUUUCUAUUGUUCCUGCCGCUCCCCUGCUGUGUUUGCAAACACCCGCUCUGGGUGGGACGCUAGCCCGUGCCCCUCAGCCACCCCAUCUUUGCGGCUGCUCUGCCCCUCUCCCAGCCCCUAUUUAAGUACCUCCCUGCAGGCAUGUGCGGGUCUUAUAUCCUCGGGUUGGAGAAGAGAGAAAAGGGUGCUCGUAGCCCCAAGGGCUGCCCAGGAUGUGGCAGCCCCCCCAUCCCGGGUGCCCACGAGCUGGUGCCUGGAGCCAGCGCUGCCCUGAGCCCUGCUCCGCGGGCUGCACAGCAGGAAGGCUCUUGAAAGUGUUAUUUUUAAUCCUUUUUCUUGUUUGUUUGUGUGGGUUUUUUUUCCCCUACUACAGGCUUGCAAUGCUUGGCCUUAGCAGCAAGUCCUGGUUUGGGCUCCAAAUUUUCCUCCCCAGUUGCCCCAGAUUUAUUUUAAAUCCACAAAGGAUUUACCAUGGGCUUCCCGUGCUUCUCCCGACGGACGCCUGCCAGCAGUGAGGAUGCCCAGGAAGGACCAGUCCCUUGCUUUAUUUUCCCCCCAUUUUUUCUGUGGCAGCAUCAAAUAACUCGGGGAUGAGCUGGUGCCGUGGGCCUCCUUUAACUCAUCGCCUGGGUCAUUGUAUCAGUUUAACCCCCUUUCUUUUUUCAGGUGGUCACAAUUAUAAACCAAUGAAUUCCUCACCCUGUGUUUAAGCAAG